rnacentral:rRNA from 1 species
GACGAACGCUGGCGGCGUGCCUAAUACAUGCAAGUUGAGCGCUGAAGGUUGGUACUUGUACCGACUGGAUGAGCAGCGAACGGGUGAGUAACGCGUGGGGAAUCUGCCUUUGAGCGGGGGACAACAUUUGGAAACGAAUGCUAAUACCGCAUAAAAACUUUAAACACAAGUUUUAAGUUUGAGAGAUGCAAUUGCAUCACUCAAAGAUGAUCCCGCGUUGUAUUAGCUAGUUGGUGAGGUAAAGGCUCACCAAGGCGAUGAUACAUAGCCGACCUGAGAGGGUGAUCGGCCACAUUGGGACUGAGACACGGCCCAAACUCCUACGGGAGGCAGCAGUAGGGAAUCUUCGGCAAUGGACGAAAGUCUGACCGAGCAACGCCGCGUGAGUGAAGAAGGUUUUCGGAUCGUAAAACUCUGUUGGUAGAGAAGAACGUUGGUGAGAGUGGAAAGCUCAUCAAGUGACGGUAACUACCCAGAAAGGGACGGCUAACUACGUG